rnacentral:lncRNA from 1 species
GAUCGCGAGACAAUGGAAGCAAAGGUUGAGAAAUCCAUUCGUUUAGCUAAUAAGAAAAUCUUAGUUAGAUAAAUUAAAGAGGGACAACAAAAUCUUGACUAGCAUAUCUGCCUCAUCAUCCUUCUAAUACAUCUGACGACGGAUAACAAAUUGGAUUGGAUAAUACGAGGGAAACCAGACCGGGUCAAAGAGACCGGAACUGGUAAGCGAUCGUGAGGUCGCCGAUCACCUCCAUAGGCAAUCUGAAGAGAGCUUGCACAUUGCUUCAGAUACAAAGCAAGGAACAAACCCCCGACUUCCUAUACAAACGCUUAACAGCCUUCGCAUACAAGUAGACGGCUAUGCACGACUCCUUGGUAAGAUGAAGAAGGAAUGGCGUGGCGAAAGAGCUACCUGGAAGCUAGUUACGGUUGUGCAAAGAAUAUGAAGGAAACUGGUACCCUAUUAGUUCAGUCAGUCAGUUACAAGUGAGAAGAAGGAUAUCAGGUUCCAAAGACUCAUCACAAAUAUCGUAGGUGAUAUCCGAAACCGCUGAUGUUAGGAUUAAGGAAGUAGACUAGAAUCUCGGAACCAAGCUCAACGCGGCAUGUUCCGGUAUUGCCAAUACAGUCUUGUCCAGUAACCCGCAAGAACGAUUAAGCCAGUGUCCUCACUGAUUAAUCCCGCGGAACCUAGUAUAGGAUCUCGUAUGAGGAUCCUCGGCAUU